rnacentral:rRNA from 1 species
CUUACACAUGCAAGUCGAGCGGUAACAUUUCUAGCUUGCUAGAAGAUGACGAGCGGCGGACGGGUGAGUAACGCGUAGGAAUCUGCCUAGUAGUGGGGGACAACAUGUGGAAACGCAUGCUAAUACCGCAUACGCCCUACGGGGGAAAGGAGGGGAUCUUCGGACCUUUCGCUAUCAGAUGAGCCUGCGUGAGAUUAGCUAGUUGGUGGGGUAAAGGCCUACCAAGGCGACGAUCUCUAGCUGGUCUGAGAGGAUGAUCAGCCACACUGGGACUGAGACACGGCCCAGACUCCUACGGGAGGCAGCAGUGGGGAAUAUUGGACAAUGGGCGCAAGCCUGAUCCAGCCAUGCCGCGUGUGUGAAGAAGGCCUUAGGGUUGUAAAGCACUUUCAGGAGUGAGGAAGGGCGUAUAGUUAAUACCUGUAUGUUUUGACGUUAACUCCAGAAGAAGCACCGGCUAACUCUGUGCCAGCAGCCGCGGUAAUACAGAGGGUGCGAGCGUUAAUCGGAAUUACUGGGCGUAAAGCGCGCGUAGGCGGUUUGUUAAGUCGGAUGUGAAAUCCCAGGGCUCAACCUUGGAAUGGCACCCGAUACU